GUGUAGGAUAGCUGGGAGACCGUGAAGCCGCCACGCCAGUGGUGGUGGAGUCGUCGUUGAAAUACCAGUCUGGUCGUGCUGGAUGUCUAACCUGGGUCCGUGAUCCGGAUCAGGGACAGUGUCUGAUGGGUAGUUUAACUGGGGCGGUUGCCUCCUAAAGGGUAACGGAGGCGCCCAAAGGUUCCCUCAGCCUGGUUGGCAAUCAGGUGGUGAGUGUAAGUGCACAAGGGAGCUUGACUGUGAGACCGACGGGUCGAGCAGGGACGAAAGUCGGGACUAGUGAUCCGGCGGUGGCUUGUGGAAGCGCCGUCGCUCAACGGAUAAAAGGUACCCCGGGGAUAACAGGCUGAUCUUCCCCAAGAGUCCAUAUCGACGGGAUGGUUUGGCACCUCGAUGUCGGCUCGUCGCAUCCUGGGGCUGGAGUCGGUCCCAAGGGUUGGGCUGUUCGCCCAUUAAAGCGGUACGCGAGCUGGGUUUAGAACGUCGUGAGACAGUUCGGUCCCUAUCCGCUGCGCGCGCAGGAGUCUUGAGAAGGGCUGUCCCUAGUACGAGAGGACCGGGACGGACGAACCUCUGGUGUGCCAGUUGUCCUGCCAAGGGCAUGGCUGGUUGGCUACGUUCGGGAGGGAUAACCGCUGAAAGCAUCUAAGCGGGAAGCCUGCUUCGAGAUGAGGACUCCCACCCACUUGAUGGGGUAAGGCUCCCAGCAGACGACUGGGUUGAUAGGCCGGGUCUGGAAGCACCGCAAGGUGUGGAGGUGACCGGUACUAAUAGGCCGAGGGCUUGUCCUCAGUUG
rnacentral:rRNA from 1 species